rnacentral:rRNA from 1 species
GAUGAACGCUGACAGAAUGCUUAACACAUGCAAGUCAACUUGACUGGUUUACCAGUUGGGUGGCGCACGGGUGAGUAACGCGUGAAGAACUUGCCUUUUAGCCUGGGACAACUACUAGAAAUGGUAGCUAAUACCGGAUAGUAUCAUCUUAUGGCAUCAUGAGGUGAUGAAAGAUAUAUUUGCUAAAAGAGAGCUUCGCGUCCCAUUAGCUAGUUGGUAGUGUAAUGGACUACCAAGGUGACGAUGGGUAGCCGGCCUGAGAGGGUGGACGGCCACAAGGGGACUGAGACACGGCCCUUACUCCUACGGGAGGCAGCAGGGGGGAAUAUUGGACAAUGGGCCACGAGCCUGAUCCAGCAAUUCUGUGUGAAUGAAGAAGGCUUUCGGGUCGUAAAGUUCUUUCGGCAGGGAAGAAGAAAGUGACGGUACCUGCAUAAGAAGCGACGGCUAAUUACGUGCCAGCAGCCGCGGUAAUACGUAAGUCGCAAGCGUUAUCCGGAUUUACUGGGCGUAAAGGGCGUCUAGGCGGUUUAAUAAGUCAGAGGUGAAAAGUCAGGGCUCAACCUUGGCCUGGCCUUUGAAACUGUUAGACUAGAGUACGGAAGAGGAGGGUGGAACUACAAGUGUAGCGGUGGAAUGCGUAGAUAUUUGUAGGAAUGCCGAUGAUGAAGAUAGCCCUCUGGGACGAUACUGACGCUAAAGCGCGAAAGCUAGGGUAGCAAACAGGAUUAGAUACCCUGGUAGUCCUAGCUGUAAACGAUGAAUACUGGGUGUUUGCGGUAAUACCGUAAGCGCCGAAGCUAACGCAUUAAGUAUUCCGCCUGGGGAGUACGGUCGCAAGACUAAAACUCAAAGGAAUUGACGGGGACCCGCACAAGCGGUGGAGCAUGCGGUUUAAUUCGAUGCAACGCGAGGAACCUUACCAGGUCUUGGAUCCACUAAAGAUUUCAGAGAUGAGAUUGUGCCUCUUAUGAGGAAUAGUGAGACAGGUGGUGCAUGGCUGUCGUCAGCUCGUGCCGUGAGGUGUUGGGUUAAGUCCCGCAACGAGCGCAACCCCUGCAAUAUGUUACCAUCAUUAAGUUGGGGACUCAUAUUGGACUGCCUGCGAAGAGCAGGAGGAAGGUGGGGAUGACGUCAAGUCAUCAUGCCCUUUAUGACCUGGGCUACACACGUGCUACAAUGGGUAGAACAAAGAGACGCAAGACAGUGAUGUGGAGCAAAUCUGAAAAAACUACUCUCAGUUCGGAUCGUAGUCUGCAACUCGACUACGUGAAGUUGGAAUCGCUAGUAAUCGCGAAUCAGCAACGUCGCGGUGAAUACGUUCUCGGGUCUUGUACACACCGCCCGUCACACCACGAGAGUUGGUUGCACCUGAAGUUACUGGCCUAACCGUAAGGAGGGAGGUACCGAGGGUGUGAUUGAUGAUUGGGGUG